GGGGAUUUAGCUCAGCAGUAGAGCGCUUGCCUAGCAAGCGCAAGGCCCUGGGUUCAGUCCCCA
rfam:Rattus norvegicus chromosome 5, whole genome shotgun sequence.